AGUGAACGCUGGCGGUAGGCCUAACACAUGCAAGUCGAACGGCAGCACAGUAAGAGCUUGCUCUUACGGGUGGCGAGUGGCGGACGGGUGAGGAAUACAUCGGAAUCUACUUUUUCGUGGGGGAUAACGUAGGGAAACUUACGCUAAUACCGCAUACGACCUACGGUUGAAAGCAGGGGAUCUUCGGACCUUGCGCGAUUGAAUGAGCCGAUGUCGGAUUAGCUAGUUGGCGGGGUAAAGGCCCACCAAGGCGACGAUCCGUAGCUGGUCUGAGAGGAUGAUCAGCCACACUGGAAAUGAGACACGGUCCAGACUCCUACGGGAGGCAGCAGUGGGGAAUAUUGGACAAUGGGCGCAAGCCUGAUCCAGCCAUACCGCGUGGGUGAAGAAGGCCUUCGGGGUGGAAAGCCCUUUUGUUGGGAAAGAAAAGCAGCAGGUGAAUACCCCGCUGUUCUGGCGGUACCCAAAGAAUAAGCACCGGCUAAAUUAGUG
rnacentral:rRNA from 1 species